rnacentral:rRNA from 1 species
AUUGAACGCUGGCGGCAUGCCUUACACAUGCAAGUCGAACGGCAGCACGGGAGCAAUCCUGGUGGCGAGUGGCGAACGGGUGAGUAAUAUAUCGGAACGUGCCCAGUCGUGGGGGAUAACGUAGCGAAAGCUACGCUAAUACCGCAUACGAUCUAUGGAUGAAAGCGGGGGAUCGCAAGACCUCGCGCGAUUGGAGCGGCCGAUAUCAGAUUAGGUAGUUGGUGGGGUAAAAGCCUACCAAGCCUUCGAUCUGUAGCUGGUCUGAGAGGACGACCAGCCACACUGGAACUGAGACACGGUCCAGACUCCUACGGGAGGCAGCAGUGGGGAAUUUUGGACAAUGGGCGCAAGCCUGAUCCAGCAAUGCCGCGUGCAGGAUGAAGGCCUUCGGUUGUAACUGCUUUGUACGGACGAAACGGCUCUUUCUAUAAAGGAGCUAAUGACGGUACCGUAAGAAUAAG